rnacentral:rRNA from 1 species
UACAGAGGUCUCGAGCGUUAGGCGGAAUCACUGGGCUUAAAGCGUGUGUAGGCGGAUCGUUAAGUGCCUUGUGAAAUCCCACGGCUCAACCGUGGAACUGCUUGGCAUACUGGCGGUCUUGAGCAACCUAGGGGCGAGCGGAACAAAUGGUGGAGCGGUGAAAUGCGUAGAUAUCAGGAAGAACACCAAUGGCGAAAGCAGCUCUCUGGGACGGUACUGACGCUGAGACGCGAAAGCGUGGGGAGCGAACAGG